UGUGUGUGUGUGUGUGUGUGUGUGUGUGUGUGUGUGUGUGUGUGUGUGUGUGUGUGUGUGUGUUGAGUGUGUAAUGUUCCUUUAUCUAACUUUAGGGUCAGCUGUGUUCAUUCUCAUUUUCUCAUUCUUCAUUGCCAGAUUUGGGAGAUUAUUUCAGCUGAAGGGGUUUUGUGACAUUUUACUCAACACAUUCUUACUCAGUGACUUAUGCAGAGGAGCCUAGAAAAACAACAGCUAUCACAUAGUCAGUGUGCACCUUCCUUUCAAAAAAAUACAAAUUCUCUCACAAUUUCAUCACUUUUUUCACACAAUUUAAUGCCAAAAGUUUCUGUUUUAUGGGACACGGCAUUUGUGGGAGUGGAUCCUUACAUGUGGAACCAAUCUUCUUUGGGAUAAUGAAUUCUGCAGGUGGUGGGGAGUCGUUUGUGUGCUACACUAAAGGCCAGGGAAAGAGACCACAUACUAAAGCAAGGCUGAGCUAACCGUUUUCCAGCAGCAUCUCCAGUUGCUGUGAGAUGUUACCCCACUCUUCCACCAAGGCACCUGCAAGUUCCCGGACAUUUCUGGGGGGAAUGGCCCUAGGCCUCACCCUUCUGAUCCAACAGGUCCCAGACGUGCUCAAUAAGAUUGAGAUCUGGUCUCUUCACUGGCCAUGGCAGAACACUGACAUUCCUGUCUUGCAGGAAAUCACGCACAGAACAAGCAGUAUGGCUGGUGGCAUUGUCAUGCUGGAUGGUCAUGUCUGAAUGAGCCUGCAGGAAGAGUACCACAUGAGGGAGGAGGAUGUCUUCCCUGUAACGCACAGCGUUGAGAUUGCCUGCAAUGACAACAUGCUCAGUCCGAUGAUGCUGUGACACACCGCCUCAGACCAUGAUGGACCCUCCACCUCCAAAUUGAUCCCGCUCCAGAGUACAGGCCUCAAAACCGCGACUUGUCAGUGAAGAGCACUUUUUGCCAGUCCUGUCUGGUCCAGCGACGUGGGUUUGUGCCCAACGUUGUUGCCGGUGAUGUCUGGUGAGGACCUGUCUUACAACAGGCCUACAAGCCCUCAGUCCAGCCUCUCUCAGCCUAUUGCGGACAGUCUGAGCACUGAUGGAGGGAUUGUGCAUUCUUGUUGUAACGUUACUUAGCUAGCUACCUAGCCUCAAAUCAAAUAGCUAGCAUGCAGAUAUCCCCAAGUCCCAGUGACACAUAUACAAGACACCUGUCUGAUUCGUGCUGGGUGUACUGAUCCAGUCUAAGACAUGUGCUACUGAAAUUGUAUAUGGUUGUAUUACAUAAACAAUUGUGCAACACUAAUAAAAAUAAUAUUGUUUUAUAACAAAUGCGCUUUCUCCCUUGUCGGAUAGCGGUUUCUGAAACACAUCAGUGCGCUGUUGAAUUAAGACAGAUCCUGCUUCUGUUGCCUGUUUGAGUGAUUGUUUAAUAGCCUACUGAUUCCGUGAGCCCCAAGCCUCAAGUAAACAAUUUCACAUAUUCGGUUGUUUUUAAUCUUUGCUUUAAUGUAAUAA
rnacentral:lncRNA from 1 species